UCCAAGUUUUCUGUUGGCCAUUCUUUCCAUUUUUAUGUUGCGCUAUUGGGGGCAUGAACAUUUCAUUAGAGAAAUUUAUUUUUUCUAAAUAUCGUGUACAAUUUUUAUUGAACCAUUGCUCUUCCAUAAUGAAGGUCAAAUGUUCGUUACAGAGACGUUCCGAAAAAUUGCGCUUUUAUUGUUUUAAUUUGUUUUAUUCGCCACAGCUCAUAAAACGAGGAACCCCAAGUACUUUUUGCAGGAUAUAAGCGAGGCCUGAACCUUCACAAAUUCAUCCCUUCACCUAGCUACGUUUCAGACGCUGCCAUAUACAGUCUCACUGGUGAGAAUAGGCCUUUUCGCUGCUCGAUAUCGAGCCAUGUUUUGUCGCACGCUUUUUCGGCACAUAAGUUGUAUCGCCACUGCACGCCCUAUGUAUACUGGUUUAUUUAUAUAUUAUCUGAAAAGAAAAGAAAAUGUCAUAUCGUGUUUAUGAAUACGCCAUAUAAAAUUUUCAUAGUUAGGUAUAACAUAUUCAAUGUGAAAACCGUUCUAGAUAGUUUGAUCCACAUGUAAAGGUAUGUCAGGACUUGCGAGUUUCCAUUUCAAAUCUUAUCUACAAAAUGGUUCCACUGAAAAGAAUUCUACUCGAAGGCUAAUGAGGCCGUUAUUAUAUUUUUGAAAGAAAAAAGACACUGAGGAAUAAGCCUAUGCUUGCUCGAUUGAGGAACGAGAUUCCUUAGAGUUGGUGAAAUUUCGAAACAAUCAUCUGCAUUGUGAGACACUUAUUAGAGUACACCCUAAGGUGGAAUAGCGGUUUUUUGUUGUCAAUAUAAAUUAAGCGCAGUGAAGAAAUGGAGUCAUUCAAGAAGAAGAGAAAACAUAUCUUAACACGCAAAUAAAGCAGUAAUUAGUCGUAUGGCUGCAAAUACAUAUACUAAUGUAGAUUAUGGUUUUCCAUUUUACAAAAAGCGAGCAUGAAACUGCAUGUAGCAUGCCUGGCUGUGGAACUUUAUUUUCCGCUAAUUAAUCUUAAGAAGCUGCUGAUCACAUGUAUAGGGGCUUGAUCUCCCUCUCCAAAAGAUAUAAGUAUCAAUACAACCAUAUUAGCAGUCUUUUAAUGCAAUCCAAUGUUGCAAAUACGGUAGCCCCGUCAGCGUUUAGCGUAAAAUGCUUAUUAACUGAGAGCCAGUGCAGUUUUCCUGUUGAACUCAUAGGUGGCUCAAUUUAUUUUCCUGCAGCACAAAGACACAUGAACCGUCAGUUUGGAGUGGACCUCAUGUCGGUCGCCGCAAUCGUAAUUGCUUUGAUCGUUAUGGCUCCGAAGGAAGCUCUCGCUAGCCUCGGAGGAGGCGUGGGAGGAACCGGAGGCAUCCAAGGCUUUGGCAAGAAGUGAAUUUUCGUGCGUCCUGAAUCCAGCCAUUGCACCUUUGUCACGGUCUGGAUGACCGGCUCGCCUACAAUAAAAUGCCUGUUGACAUCAUAA